GAGUUUGAUCAUGGCUCAGAAUGAACGCUGGCGGCAUGGAUUAGGCAUGCAAGUCGAACGAGAAACUCUUCGGAGUGGAAAGUGGCGGAAGGGUGAGUAACGCGUGAGUAACUUGCUUCCAAAUCGAGGAUAACAGUUGGAAACGACUGCUAAUACUGGAUGUGAUAAAAGAAUCGCAUGUUUCUUUUAUUAAAGAUCCGUUGUUUGGAGAUAGGCUCGCGUCCCAUUAGUUUGUUGGUAAGGUAACGGCUUACCAAGACUUUGACGGGUAGGUGGUCUGAGAGGAUGGUCACCCACACUGGGACUGAGACACUGCCCAGACUCCUGCGGGAGGCUGCAGUCGAGAAUCUUCCGCAAUGCGCGAAAGCGUGACGGAGCAAUGCCGCGUGAAUGAUGAAGGCCUUCGGGUCGUAAAGUUCUGUCAGGGGUGAAGAACAUUGACAUUAACCCCAGAGGAAGCCACGGCUAACUACGUGCCAGCAGCCGCGGUAAUACGUAGGUGGCGAGCGUUAUUCGGAUUUACUGGGCGUAAAGGAUCCGUAGGGGGUCUAUUAAGUCUGAUGUGAAAUUUCGGGGCUCAACCCCGAAGCUGCAUUGGAAACUGAUGGACUCGAGUCCG
rnacentral:rRNA from 1 species